AGUGAACGCUGGCGGUAGGCCUAACACAUGCAAGUCGAACGGCAGCACAGUAAGAGCUUGCUCUUACGGGUGGCGAGUGGCGGACGGGUGAGGAAUACAUCGGAAUCUACUUUUUCGUGGGGGAUAACGUAGGGAAACUUACGCUAAUACCGCAUACGACCUACGGGUGAAAGCAGGGGAUCCUCGGACCUUGCGCGAUUGAAUGAGCCGAUGUCGGAUUAGCUAGUUGGCGGGGUAAAGGCCCACCAAGGCGAGGAUCCGUAGCUGGUCUGAGAGGAUGAUCAGCCACACUGGAGCUGAGACGCGGUCCAGACUCCUACGGGAGGCAGCAGUGGGGAAUAUUGGACAAUGGGCGCAAGCCUGGUCCAGCCAUACCGCGUGGGUGAAGAAGGCCUUCGGGUUGUAAAGCCCUUUUGUUGGGAAAGAAAAGCAGCAGGUUAAUACCCCGCUGUUCUGACGGUACCCAAAGAAUAAGCACCGGCUAACUUCGUG
rnacentral:rRNA from 1 species